UUCCCGACUCCUACGGGAGGCAGCAGUGGGGAAUAUUGCGCAAUGGGCGAAAGCCUGACGCAGCGACGCCGCGUGAGGGAUGAAGGUUUUCGGAUCGUAAACCUCUGUCAGAAGGGAAGAGAAUGACGGUACCUGACUAAGAAGCCCCGGCUAACUACGUGCCAGCAGCCGCGGUAAUACGUAGGGGGCAAGCGUUAUCCGGAUUUACUGGGUGUAAAGGGGGCGCAGACGGCGAUGCAAGCCAGGAGUGAAAGCCCGGGGCCCAACCCCGGGACUGCUCUUGGAACUGCGUGGCUGGAGUGCAGGAGGGGCAGGCGGAAUUCCUGGUGUAGCGGUGAAAUGCGUAGAUAUCAGGAGGAACACCGGUGGCGAAGGCGGCCUGCUGGACUGCAACUGACGUUGAGGCCCGAAAGCGUGGGGAGCAAACAGGAUUAGAUACCCCAGUAAA
rnacentral:rRNA from 1 species